AUGCCUUAAACUAAUGAGUAAGGAAAAUAACGAGUCCGGGUGACGCCGGCUCCUCACUGCUCAUGUGAGAGGAAUUUUUGGAUGGGUACAGGUCGCCCCAAGGAGGAUCUGCCAACUCUUCAGGAGCAGUGAUCUGCCCG